rnacentral:hammerhead_ribozyme from 1 species
AUCCAGUGGAUGAGUCGCAAAUAGGACGAAAUGCGCAGCCUGGAU